UACAGAGGGUGCGAGCGUUAAUCGGAAUUACUGGGCGUAAAGGGCGCGUAGGCGGAUAAAUAAGUUGGAUGUGAAAUCCCUGGGCUUAACCUAGGAACUGCAUACAAUACUGUUUAGCUAGAGUGCGGUAGAGGGUAGUGGAAUUCCUGGUGUAGCGGUGGAAUGCGCAGACUAUCAGGAGGAACACCGGUGGCGAAGGCGGGUCUCUGGGCCGAAUACUG
rnacentral:rRNA from 1 species